rnacentral:lncRNA from 1 species
UACUACUACUACUACUACUACUACUACUACUACUACUGCUACUGCUACUCCUACUGCUACUGCUCCUGCUGCUACUGCUACUGCUACUGCUACUGCUACUGCUACUGCUACUCCUACUACUACUACUACUACUACUACUACUACUACUACUACUACUACUACUACUACUACUACUACUACUACUACUACUACUACUACUACUA